rnacentral:rRNA from 1 species
CCUACGGGUGGCAGCAGUGGGGAAUAUUGCGCAAUGGGCGAAAGCCUGACGCAGCGACGCCGCGUGAGGGAUGAAGGUCUUCGGAUCGUACACCUCUGUCAGCAGGGAAGAACGGUCACUGUGCUAAUCAGCAGUGAAUUGACGGUACCUGCAAAGGAAGCACCGGCUAACUCCGUGCCAGCAGCCGCGGUAAUACGGAGGGUGCGAGAGUUAAUCGGAAUUACUGGGCGUAAGGCGCUCGUAGGCGGUAUGUCAAGUCAAGGGUGAAAUCCCCGCGCUCAACGUGGGAACUGCCUUUGAAACUGGCAAACUGGAGUGUGUGAGAGGAUAGUGGAAGUCCAGGUGUAGGAGUGAAGUCCGUAGAUAUCUGGAGGAACAUCAGUGGCGAAGGCGACUAUCUGGCACAUAACUGACGCUGAGGAGCGAAAGCGUGGGUAGCAAACAGGAUUAGAUACCCCUGUAGUC